UUAAUUGAAGAGUUUGAUCAUGGCUCAGAUUGAACGCUGGCGGCAGGCCUAACACAUGCAAGUCGAGCGGUAACAGAUUGAUAGCUUGCUAUCAAUGCUGACGAGCGGCGGACGGGUGAGUAAUGCCUGGGAAUAUGCCCUGAUGUGGGGGAUAACUAUUGGAAACGAUAGCUAAUACCGCAUAAUCUCUUCGGAGCAAAGAGGGGGACCUUCGGGCCUCUCGCGUCAGGAUUAGCCCAGGUGGGAUUAGCUUGUUGGUGGGGUAAUGGCUCACCAAGGCAACGAUCCCUAGCUGGUCUGAGAGGAUGAUCAGCCACACUGGAACUGAGACACGGUCCAGACUCCUACGGGAGGCAGCAGUGGGGAAUAUUGCACAAUGGGGGAAACCCUGAUGCAGCCAUGCCGCGUGUAUGAAGAAGGCCUUCGGGUUGUAAAGUACUUUCAGUUGUGAGGAAGGCGUUGAUGUUAAUAGCUUCAGCGUUUGACGUUAGCAACAGAAGAAGCACCGGCUAACUCCGUGCCAGCAGCCGCGGUAAUACGGAGGGUGCGAGCGUUAAUCGGAAUUACUGGGCGUAAAGCGCAUGCAGGUGGU
rnacentral:rRNA from 1 species